GACGAACGCUGGCGGCGUGCUUAACACAUGCAAGUCGAGCGGUAAGGCCCUUCGGGGUACACGAGCGGCGAACGGGUGAGUAACACGUGGGUGACCUGCCUCUAGCUCUGGGAUAAGCCUGGGAAACUGGGUCUAAUACCGGAUAUGACUCCACGGCGCAUGUUGUGGGGUGGAAAGCCUUGUGUGGCUAGAGAUGGGCCCGCGGCCUAUCAGCUUGUUGGUGGGGUGAUGGCUACCAAGGCGACGACGGGUAGCCGGCCUGAGAGGGCGACCGGCCACACUGGGACUGAGACACGGCCCAGACUCCUACGGGAGGCAGCAGUGGGGAAUCUUGCGCAAUGGGCGAAAGCCUGACGCAGCGACGCCGCGUGAGGGAUGACGGCC
rnacentral:rRNA from 1 species